CACGAAGGCUUUCCCUGCCGUCUGGACUUAGGGUUGCUCCUCUGACACUGUUCUCUGCCUCCGGGUUUGUGGGGAGGGGGAAAUUCAAGAGGGGCUGGCUGUCCAGCGAAAGGGGUUGGGGGACCCCUACCUGAGGCUUGUGGGGGACUAACCAGCCAUUCUCUCCUCCUGGGGCUUUUAGCUCUGGCGGGAGACAGGAGCUCACCUUUCCCGAGGACCAGGCUACGUGCCAGGCAUUUUGCAAACGCGCCCAUUUGAUACUCACAGCUGCAUCAUGAUAGCAUAAUUACUCUCCCAUUUUACAAAGGAGGAGACAAAGGCUCCGAGGGCGUCUUACCCAAGGCCACGGGGUGAGUCUUGAGAAGCAGAACCUGGGCAUCCCUGCCGACCCCCAGCCACGCGAGAGCCAGUGAGGCCGACAGACCCACCCUUCCAGCUGUACCUGCUCAGGGAUCGAACCUGCACCCCUGCAGUGGAAGGGCAGAGUCUUAAUCACUGGACCACCAGGGAAGACCCCCCUCCCCAUCUUUUCAGUCUACCUCCUCUGGAAAACAGACGACCCCAUCACCCAAGGAAGGAGACCCGCUCAGAUCUCGCUUCAGCGCAGGAUAGGAAGUGAAGAAAGAACGACAAUUGGACAGCUGAUGGACUGGGACCGGUGGAAGGCCCCAACACUGAGAAGAAAGCAGCAGUUUGGCCAACAUUCAGGGUUGAAGGGGCACAG